rnacentral:lncRNA from 1 species
GAAGGAUCAUUCAUAUUGGAAGACUCAUGGUGGGACGAACAAGCAUAACAUCAAAUUAGGCAAGAGUCGUAAUUUCCUCUUCAUUAUGAGCUAGGAUGUACCAGUAGAAGAGGUGGUUGGAUGUGGCGAGGCAAAUUACUGAGAGGAUUGGAGGAAGCACUCAAAGGUUGGAUCGUAGGAGAGCACGAGGAAAUGAGAGAUAGUAAGAAGCAGGCUGUACUACUAGUCACUCAAGGGACUUCAAUCACCAGAGUUAUAUGUCUAGAACUGGGAAUUCAUCCCUCUAAUGGAUCUCAAGCCAAGUUAUGAGAACCUUAACAAGUGACUUAUAGACUCUUUCAUCGAACUUUUGAGUGUAUUCUAUAAUAUGAUACAAUGAAAUUUCAGAAUAUUUAACUUCAUUUGUAAUAGUAGACUUCAGCGAUAUUUAUCAAACAAUAUUAAUAAUACAACUUUAUAUAUUCAUUCAUUCCAAUUCAGAAUGAUAAUCCUAAUAUUAAUGUCUAUGCCUUUGUCAAUGUUUAAUUCCAUUAGUUAAUUUAUUUGUUUUAAUAAAUGUAAAUAUAUAUUUAAACACUACU